GGUUUUGCUUCUUAUACCUACCGUUCAUAUAUGUAUAAAGUAAUGGCAUAUAUGAUAAAUAGGAGGGUUCACUGUGCUGUGGAAGAAAGCCUGGAUAUUUCCCUGUUCCAUCAGAUAUUGAUCCAUUUAAUGUAGGAAUAAGACACCAGCAACAUUAGUGUUUUGUGGAAAGAAAAGGAGAACAUAAAGAUGCAUAACGUUUUGUCACAUUAUCUGCUUCAAGGGAAGAGGUAAUAAGUGUAGGAUGAUUUCCACCAUCAGGUUUUGAAACUGGCUACAAACUCUCCUCUGAAAUACAAUAAAGUGAGGCCUUCUUCUAUUUGUCGAGCAAAUUCGUUUUGAAAUUCAUAAUGGCUGCUUCUAAUAAAUUUUUUUCAUCAAGAUGCUUAAUAAUUAAUUUUUCAUUACAGAUUCAAAAAUGUUUCCUUCAAUCAUGUUGAACUAACUAAUCUGUAGUUAUGAGGUUUGAGAUGCCUCCCUUUUUGAAAAUGGCUAUAACACAACUUGCACUCUCCAAUCCACUAGCUACAUCCAGUCAAUAGCACAAUGCUCAACUAUAAUUUCUAAGAUCUAUGAUAAUUGUUACCCUGUUUCCCUAAGGAUCCCCAUGUAUAUCCUAUUAAGUCCUGGUACUUCAUCUUCCUUUAGCUUAAUUAAUGCUUCCACCACUGCUUUAUUAUUAUGACUCAUUUUGUAUUUGAACAAUUUAGGAUUUACCUCCUCCCCAAAAUAAUUCUCCUUGUUCAAACAAUAAAGUGGAGUCAUUAAAUACCUCUGUUAAUUUUCACUCAACCUCACCAAAGUAGUCUCUUCUGUGAGGUGUUCCUAACUUUUGUAAACAAAUCUGUUUUUACUGAUAUAUUUGUGGAACACUUCAGUGUGCCUUCAAAUUAUUUUGGAAAUUCUCUCCUUAAAAUUAUUCCAAAUGUUAUUGUGUUCCUCCCUCAAUUUGAUUGUACAUGUAAACAUCAAAAAGUCAAUUUUAACUUGAUUGUCAACUCUUUAGUUAGCCAUGGACGUUCGAGGCUUGAUGUUAUCUUUCCGCAAAAUUUAUAUGAUACAUUCUAAUAUGCAGCAAGGUAUAAUAAUCCAACUCUUUUAAAUGGCUGACACAGUAGCUCAGUGGCCACUGCGUUGCCUGACAGUGCCAGGGAUUCGGGUUCAAUUCCAGCCUUUGAUGACUGUCAGUAAGGAAUUUGUACAUUCGCCCCAUGUCGGUUUGCAUUUCUGCAAAUGCUCCAGUUUCCCCCCACAUUCCAAAGAUGUGCAGGUUAGGUGAAUUGGCUAUGCUAAGUUGUCACAGAGUGUCCAGGGAUGUGCAAGCUAGGUGAAUUUGGCUAUAGUAAAAAUUGAGUAAUGGAGAUAGCAUGGAGACCAGGGUCUGAGUGGAAUGCAUCAGUGCAGACUCAAUGGGCGAAUGGCCUCUUUCCACACCAUAGGGAUUCUAUGAUCUGAGUGCUAGAAGCCAACUAGACUGUAAGCCAGUCAAAGAGAAAUAGAACAAGAAGAACUGUUAUUUUUGCUCUGACUGCUGCAAACCAUCAACUGUCAAAACAAACUUUACAAUUAACCGCAAGUAAAGAAUUCUGAAAUCAACAUUCCGUCAUCUCCUCUUCAUGAUUCACCGGAGAGACUUAUUUAUAUUUAUUUUUAAAUUUUUUACUACUUUUUGGAUUUACUUAUUAUUCCUAAUAUGCAUCUAGGUGUGUUGUGUUACUAAUUCU